UACAGAGGUCUCAAGCGUUGUUCGGAAUUACUGGGCGUAAAGGGUGCGCAGGCCGCGCGGGCAGUCAAAUGUGUAAUCCAGGGGCUCAACCCCUGAACUGCGCUUGAUACUUCCGCGCUCGAGCUUUGGAGAGGAGUCUGGAAUUCUCGGUGUAGCAGUGAAAUGCGUGGAUAUCGAGAGGAACACUUAGGGCGUAGGCAAGACUCUGGACAAAUGCUGACGCUCAUGCACGAAGGCUAGGGUAGCGAACGGG
rnacentral:rRNA from 1 species